AGUUCGAUCAUGGCUCAGAUUGAACGCUGGCGGGGAUGCUUACACACGCAAGUCGAACGGCAGCACGGACUUCGGUCUGCGGGCGAGUGGCGAACGGGUGAGUAAUGUAUCGGAAACGUGCCUAGUAGCGGGGGAUAACUACGCGAAAGCGUAGCUACUACCGCAUACGCCCUUCGGGGAAAGCGGGGACCUUCGGGCCUCGCACUAUUAGAGCGGCCGAUAUCGGAUUAGCUAGUUGGCGUGCGCUCACCAAGGCGACGAUCCGUAGCUGGUUUGAGAGGACGACCAGCCACACUGGGACUGAGACACGGCCCAGACUCCUACGGGAGUGCGCAGUGGGGAAUUUUGGAUAAUGGGGGAAACCCUGAUCCAGCCAUCCCCGCGUGUGCGAUGAAGGCCUCCGGGUUGUAAAGCACUUUUUGGCAGGAAGAAACGAUGGCACGGGAUAAUACCCCGUGCAACCACGGUACCUGCAGAAUAAGCACCGGCUAACUACGUGCCAGCAGCCGCGGUAAUACGUAGGGUGCAAGUGUUAAUCGGAAUUACUGGGCGUAAAGCGUGCGCAGGCGGUUCGGAAAGCGAAAGAUGUGAAAUCCCAGAGCUUAACUUUGGAACUGCAUUUUUAACUACCGAGCUAGAGUGUGUCAGAGGGAGGUGGAAUUCCGCGUGUAGCAGUGGAAUGCGUAGAUAUGCGGAGGAACACCGAUGGCGAAGGCAGCCUCCUGGGAUAACACUGACGCUCAUGCACGAAAGCGUGGGAGCAAACAGGAUUAGAUACUCCUGGUAGUCCACGCCCUAAACGAUGUCAACUAGCUGUUGGGGCCUCGGGCCUGGUAGCGCAGCUAACGGCAGAAGUUGACCGCCUGGGGAGUACGGUCGCAAGAUUAAAACUCAAAGGAAUUGACGGGGACCUGCACAAGCGGUGGAUGAUGUGGAUUAAUUCGAUGCAACGCGAAACCUUACCUACUCCUUGAUAUGUCUGGAAUCCCUGAAGAGAUUUGGGAGGUUUGCAAGAGAACCGGAACACAGGUGCUGCAUGGCUGUCGUCAGCUCGUGUCGUGAGAUGUUGGGUUAAGUCCCGCAACGAGCACAACCCUUGUCAUUAGUUGCUGGCUUGAAAGCGGCAAUUUAAUGACUGCUGUGACAAACCGGAGGAAGGUGGGGAUGACGUCAAGUCCUCAUGGCCCUAUGGGUAGGGCUUCACACGUCAUACAAUGGUCGUGGGACAGAGGGUCGCCAACCUGCUAGGUAGAGCCAAUCCCAGAAACCCGAUCGUAGUCCGGAUCGCAGUCUUGCAACUCGACUGCGUGUCGGAAUCGCUAGUAAUCGCGGAUCAGCAUGUCGCGGUGAAUACGUUCCCUGGUCUUGUACACACCGCCCGUCACACCAUGGGAGUGGGUUUUACCAGAAGUAGUUAGCCUAACCGUAAGGAGGGCGAUUACCACGGUAGAUUCAUGACUGGGUGAAGUCGUAACAAGGUAA
rnacentral:rRNA from 1 species